GAUGAACGCUGGCGGCGUGCCUAAUACAUGCAAGUCGAGCGAACAGAUGAGGAGCUUGCUCCUCUGACGUUAGCGGCGGACGGGUGAGUAACACGUGGAUAACCUACCUAUAAGACUGGGAUAACUUCGGGAAACCGGAGCUAAUACCGGAUAAUAUAUUGAACCGCAUGGUUCAAUAGUGAAAGACGGUUUUGCUGUCACUUAUAGAUGGAUCCGCGCCGCAUUAGCUAGUUGGUAAGGUAACGGCUUACCAAGGCAACGAUGCGUAGCCGACCUGAGAGGGUGAUCGGCCACACUGGAACUGAGACACGGUCCAGACUCCUACGGGAGGCAGCAGUAGGGAAUCUUCCGCAAUGGGCGAAAGCUUGACGGAGCAACGCCGCGUGAGUGAUGAAGGUCUUCGGAUCGUAAAACUCUGUUAUUAGGGAAGGACAAAUGUGUAAGUAACUAUGCACGUCUUGACGGUACCUAAUCAGAAAGCCACGGCUAACUACGUG
rnacentral:rRNA from 1 species